AGAUUUCCCACCGCAAGGGUAAGACCCCAGAAAGACUAUCUGGUUGAUAGGUCGAAGGUGUAAGUGCAGCAAUGUAUUUAGCUUAUCGAUACUAAUAGGUCGAGGACUUGACCAA
rnacentral:rRNA from 1 species